GUGCUCGCUUCGGCAGCACAUACACUAAAAUGGGAACGAUACAGAGAAGAUUAGCAUAGCCCCUGCGCAAGGAUGACAACGCACAUUCGUGAAGCGUUCCUUAUUUUU
rnacentral:snRNA from 1 species